GUGGGGAAUAUUGGGCAAUGGGCGCAAGCCUGACCCAGCAACGCCGCGUGAGGGAAGAAGGCUUUCGGGUUGUAAACCUCUGUCCUUGGUGACGAAACAAAUGACGGUAGCCAAGGAGGAAGCCCCGGCUAACUACGUGCCAGCAGCCGCGGUAAUACGUAGGGGGCGAGCGUUGUCCGGAAUUACUGGGCGUAAAGGGUGCGUAGGUGGCCUUUUAAGUUGGAUGUGAAAUACCCGGGCUUAACUUGGGGGGUGCAUCCAAAACUGGGAGGCUAGGGUGUAGGAGAUGAGAGCGGAAUUCCUAGUGGAGCGGUGAAAUGCGUAGAUAUUAGGAGGAACACCAGUGGCGAAGGCGGCUUUCUUGACUGUAACUGACACUGAGGCACGAAAGCGUGGGGAGCAAACAGGAUUAGAUACCCUGGUAGUCC
rnacentral:rRNA from 1 species